AGGUGGGACUUUAUUUCUCAAUGAAAUAGCCUUUUUAUGGCCGGAAUAAAAGUGCCAGGGGGAGCCCCAUGCCAGGAAGUGGCAAGUGCAUUUGACAAACUCCUCCAGCCGGGCUGGGGCCGCACGGGAGGCAGCAGCCCCCCGUUUCCAGAGGCGGACGCGCCUGCAGGUUGGAGCCCUGAAGACCCGGAGGUGGGGCCUCGCCAGCCGAGCCCGGUCGGCAGGUGCCCGGAGCGGAGCCGCAGAGCAGAGCGCGGGCAGCAGGGGGCAGCAGAGCACCCCAGAGACCGUUCCGGCCCCGCGGAGGGCGCCGUGGGGGCGCGGGGGUCUCUGAGGCACCUCGCUCACAGGAAGCCGCAGCGACCCCUUCCCAGGACCUCUUCCCCUCGCUUAGUUCGUCCACUCCAGCCCCUUCACAGCAGGGUCAUCUGCUGACCCAUCCAGGUCACACUGGGGUGCGCCUGGGGUGGGGCCUUCUGCACCCCUUGCCCUCCCUCGGAGGAUUUGCCCAAGCUGCAGCUUUGCUCUGGACCUUGUGCACCCCUCGGCACCCUUCUGAGGCCAUUCGGGCGCUCUCCGUGCGCGCGUGUGGGUGGGGGCCUUGCAGGGUGAGAGGUGGUGGCGUGCGUGGUCACUGGGGGCAGAAGAAAAGCUGAAGGACAAAGGGAACCCGGGGGCCCUCCGGUUUGAGGGUGCACGUGAUUGGCAGGUUUACGGCCUCGGGAAGGUGCGUGGUAGUCUGCACAAUCAAGUGAUUUUUAAAAAUAAUCUCCCUGCUUAAGUCGUACACGCUGCUAAUUGCAUUUUAAUAAGUCUCUUAAAAUCUUGCCAUAUUUUUUAAUAUCCUAAUAUUAGGUAAGUGAUUGCGGGGGACACUGGAGGGCAUGGGGAGUUUAUAUAACAGAGGGAGGUGGCAAUGAAGCCGGGGUGGGGGCAGCCACCGAGAGGCGGACGGGGUGUCUGUGUGACGUGGGGGUGUGAGUGUGUGUCCACGCGGGACUGUGCACAUGCUCACCAACAGGGAGCCGUUUGACACCUCUGGCUGGGUCUGGCAGCUGGGAGGGAGAGAGGCAGGAAGGGCAGGCAUCUCCCCUCUUUCUUUCUCUGGUUCCAAAGUGGACGUCUGAGCCCUGGCACCUCCACCCAGCUUGUCCCUGGGAUUUGACCAAGACCAUGCAGGAAGCGGGCAGCUGAGGGACAGCCCAGCUCCUGGCUCCGGAGCAGAGGAAGAGCCACCUUUCUCCUGCCCCUUCUCCCAGCCCAGGGGCCCUGCGUCCUUGCAGCGGGCCCUGCCAUGCGAGCCUCACGCUGCCCGCUAACAUGGCAGAGGCUUCGCCCUGACUGCAUGUUGGGCAUCUUGCUGGGUGAGUGUUCCGGGACCCUUGGGUGAGAAGGACCCAGGUGGCAGGCCUGGGAUUCGAACCCACAGCCGCUCCUGUGGGUAUCGAGGAAGGCUCUGAGUCACCAUGGCCCGGAAGCUGAACAGAGGCUCCCACACUUCCCUCCAUGCCAACUGUCCAGGGUCGGUGAGGACCACGUAGGAACCUCAGGAAAGGCUGGCAGAGGCGGGGUGAGGACGUCGCAUCGGGUGGCUGUGGACCUGUCCGUGAUCCUGGGCAGGGUCCUAAAGGCAAGGGUCCAUCCUGAAUUGCCCAGAUUGGUCUUGAACAUGUGAUCCUCCUGCCUCAGCCUCCCAAGUAGUAAGGAUGACAGUCUCUGGAAACUCCAUGUAAGGAGCAAUUCUGCAAAGCCAUACCUCCUCCCUCUCCUGAGCAAAACCACAGCAGCCUGCUGGCCAGACUAUGCUGGAAGAGCUUGGCAUAUGCAGAGUCUCCCUUGGGAGGCCUGGGAUGGUGGAGACGAGCUACUCCACCAUUCCCCAUCUAAACCGUGGAUCCAGGCUGUGUCUGAGGGUCCCAGUCAGCCUUCCCGUGGCUGGGCCAAGACUCCUGACACCCGAGAUGCAAAGGCUCCCGGUUUCCAAGGCGUCAGUCCGCGGCCAGCCGACUCCAGGGCACAAACAUCACGGCAGAGGAAAACCGCUCACCCCAAGACAGCCAGGAAGCGGAGAGCGACGUGUUCACCAGAGAGGAGGUGUCAGGGACCAGACCCAGGCCCCGAGUCACAGCCCCACGACACACCCAGACGCGUGCCUUCCUGACCUCCUUACUGACCUCGGCAAUCAAGUUGAGAGUCAAGAUGAAUUGUUUUGGGUUUUUUUGAGACAGGGUCUUACUCUGUAGCUCAGGCUGGCCUUGAACUUGGGAUCUUCCUGCCUCAGCCUCCCACAUGCAGGGAUUACAAGCAGCAAGUAAUAAAAUUGUGGUUUUACA